UAGACCUUACUUCAUAGGAUCAUUUCUAUAGUAAGCUCUUCACCAGGCUAUCACAAUAUGAUUUGGACAAUGUU